GUGUCAGCCGCCGCGGUAAUAUGUAGGGUGCGAGCGUUAAUCGGAGUUACUGGGCGUAAAGCGUGCGCAGGCGGUGAUGUAAGACAGAUGUGAAAUCCCCGGGCUCAACCUGGGAACUGCAUUUGUGACUGCAUCGCUGGAGUGCGGCAGAGGGGGAUGGAAUUCCGCGUGUAGCAGUGAAAUGCGUAGAUAUGCGGGGGAACACCGAUGGCGAAGGCAAUCCCCUGGACCUGUACUGACGCUCAUGCACGAAAGCGUGGGGAGCAAACAGGAUUAGAAACCCCUGUAGUCC
rnacentral:rRNA from 1 species